rnacentral:lncRNA from 1 species
ACUUGGCUUACCAAGAUCAGAUGAGCCAAAUUAUAACAUUUUGCUUUUGACUCAGACUCUACCAUUGAUACCAGCUGGAAGAAUUGCUGAGGGUAUACAAAUAAUUGCUGACGAAACUGCUCCUCUGGAACAAGUCAACGACAACUUUUUCAUUUUUCGAAGAUAUCUGCAAAGAUAUUGGUUGCCGAAAGCUGACAUAAUAUCUGUAGCUCGUUCUCCUUGGCGUACUAAUAAUAUAGCUGAAGCUUGCAAUAGGCACUUAUUAGCAGAACUUGGAGGUGUACAUCCAUCAUUUUAUACAUUUAUAUCACGCCUGCAACAUGUCAUAGCGAGCAGCGAAGUAACUUGGGGACAGUUGAACGCCGGGAUGGAUUUGGGCAGAGAAGGAAAUCGAUCUCAAAGAUAUGUUGAUUUUUAUUUAUUAAAUAUCCAGGAACGGUUGAGAAGCAACAGGUAAUAAAAUAUAUACGAUGCGCGAAUUUAUGGAAGCUGUUGUUAACCGCAUUGACAUCCAAGCGGACAUUGCAGCUGCGAUAUCAAGGCGACAAU